rnacentral:rRNA from 1 species
UACGGAGGGUGCAAGCGUUAAUCGGAAUUACUGGGCGUAAAGCGCGCGUAGGCGGCUUUGUAAGUCGGAUGUGAAAGCCCCGGGCUUAACCUGGGAAUUGCAUUCGAUACUGCAGAACUAGAGUAUGGUAGAGGGAAGUGGAAUUUCCGGUGUAGCGGUGAAAUGCGUAGAUAUCGGAAGGAACACCAGUGGCGAAGGCGACUUCCUGGGCCAAUACUGACGCUGAGGUGCGAAAGCGUGGGGAGCAAACAGG